AUUAGCUCGCUCAGCGAGAUGAGGGGCUGAAUAACCAAUCAACGUCUUUUGAACGUGGUCUUCUCGAUGGAGAGAACUGGAUUGGGAGAGUCGCCCGGGAUUUCACAUUUUCCCCCCUGCUGUUCUCUUACUCUUCCCGCUCCGCCGAACCACUCACCGUCGUUCCGUUCGUUACCAUCGUCCCAUACAGCUACGUGAUCCCACCGUUGAAUGCCUUUUGUCCUAGAAGUUGCUAUGUGCCUCUAUCCUGGUGCUCAUCUAGGCAAGGUUGCUGAAGUUGCCUCUAUUGGAUCUAGAGUGAGGUGCUUAAGCUCCAGCUUGUACUGAUCGGAUGUCUAGUUGACAGGGUUUUGGUGAGUAUAUGAAUUUGGUUCUUGGCGAUGCUGAGAAAGUCAAUAUCAAGAAGAUGACCAGAAAGUCUUUAGGAAUGAUUCUUCUAAAAGGAGACUAUUACUCUAAUAACGAACACAUAAAUCAAAAAAUCUCUUCUUCUGAUCCACCCAAUCUCAGCCUCCCCUUUCUCAUGUCAUUAGCAAUUCUAUUUCAUUGUGCAUUGCAGAGGAAAGGCAACUGUGUAGGCUGUGUUAGGGUUGUCUUCUCAGAUGCAUGGAAAGUUCGAGCUAUGUAGUGUGUUGGACACAGCUUUGUUUGGAAUUACUUAGUUAAAUGUAGGCAGGGUGGCCUAUGAAGUUAAAACUUUUUAAGCUGUAUGUCUCUUUGUAUGAAAACCGGUGAAAGAAUUAUAGUAAAUGAUUUGGAUUUAAGCAAAUAAAAUGUAUUUAAAGACUAAUUAGAUUUCCUUUAUAUUAAUUUCCUCUAAAAAUGAGGCAAAGUUGUUGUGAUAA